rnacentral:tRNA from 11 species
GGUCGCGUAGCUCAGUAGGAUAGAGCACGAGCCUUCUAAGCCCGUGGUCAGAGGUUCGAAUCCUCUCGUGAUCGCCA